rnacentral:tRNA from 1 species
GGGGAUUUAGCUCAGCGGUAGAGCGCUUGCCUAGCAAGUGCAAAGCCCUGGGUUCAGUCCCCA